ACUGGCCUAUGAUGAUUGCAGAAUUUUUGCCUACAUUGUUUGACUACUUCAUUGUGAUAAGUGUUUGCUUUGCAAGUUGCAACUCUCCUGAGGCCAGC